GACGAACGCUGGCGGCGUGCUUAACACAUGCAAGUCGAACGGAAAGGCCCUGCUUUUGUGGGGUGCUCGAGUGGCGAACGGGUGAGUAACACGUGAGUAACCUGCCCUUGACUGUGGGAUAACUUCAGGAAACUGGGGCUAAUACCGGAUAGGAGCUCCUGCUGCAUGGUGGGGGUUGGAAAGUUUCGGCGGUUGGGGAUGGACUCGCGGCUUAUCAGCUUGUUGGUGGGGUAGUGGCUUACCAAGGCUUUGGUGGGUAGCCGGCCUGAGAGGGUGACCGGCCACAUUGGGACUGAGAUACGGACCAGACGCCUACGGGAGGCAGCAGUCGGGAAUAUUGCACAAUGGGCGGAAGCCUGAUGCAGCAACGCCGCGUGCGGGAUGACGGCCUUCGGGUUGUAAACCGCUUUCGCCUGUGACGAAGCGUGAGUGACGGUAAUGGGUAAAGAAGCACCGGCUAACUACGUG
rnacentral:rRNA from 1 species